rnacentral:rRNA from 1 species
UAGGGGAGCCGGAGGGAAACCGAGUCUUAAYYGGGCGUUAAGUUGCAGGGUAUAGACCCGAAACCCGGUGAUCUAGCCAUGGGCAGGUUGAAGGUUGGGUAACACUAACUGGAGGACCGAACCGACUAAUGUUGAAAAAUUAGCGGAUGACCUGUGGCUGGGGGUGAAAGGCCAAUCAAACCGGGAGAUAGCUGGUUCUCCCCGAAAGCUAUUUAGGUAGCGCCUCGUGAAUUCAUCUCCGGGGGUAGAGCACUGUUUCGGCUAGGGGGCCAUCCCGGCUUACCAACCCGAUGCAAACUGCGAAUACCGGAGAAUGUUAUCACGGGAGACACACGGCGGGUGCUAACGUCCGUCGUGAAGAGGGAAACAACCCAGACCGCCAGCUAAGGUCCCAAAGUCAUGGUUAAGUGGGAAACGAUGUGGGAAG